AGAGUUUGAUUCUGGCUCAGGAUGAACGCUAGCGGCAGGCUUAACACAUGCAAGUCGAGGGGCAGCGGGGAGGAAGCUUGCUUUCUCCGCCGGCGACCGGCGCACGGGUGAGUAACACGUAUGCAACCUGCCCCUGUCAGGGGGACAACCCGCCGAAAGGCGGGCUAAACCCGCGUACAUGCCACCGGGGCAUCCCGGAGGCAGGAAAGGCUUCGGCCGGACAGGGAUGGGCAUGCGGCGCAUUAGGCAGUAGGCGGGGUAACGGCCCACCUAACCGACGAUGCGUAGGGGUUCUGAGAGGAAGGUCCCCCACACUGGUACUGAGACACGGACCAGACUCCUACGGGAGGCAGCAGUGAGGAAUAUUGGUCAAUGGUCGGGAGACUGAACCAGCCAAGCCGCGUGAGGGAGGAAGGUACAGAGUAUCGUAAACCUCUUUUGUCAGGGAACAAAGACUGGGACGCGUCCCCGGAUGAGUGUACCUGAAGAAAAAGCAUCGGCUAACUCCGUGCCAGCAGCCGCGGUAAUACGGAGGAUGCGAGCGUUAUCCGGAUUUAUUGGGUUUAAAGGGUGCGCAGGCGGUCUGUUAAGUCAGCGGUCAAAGCCCGGGGCUCAACCCCGGCCCGCCGUUGAAACUGGCAGUCUCGAGUUGG
rnacentral:rRNA from 1 species